UCUUGAGAGCGGCGGACGGGUGAGUAAUGCCUAGGAAUCUGCCUGGUAGUGGGGGAUAACGUUCGGAAACGAACGCUAAUACCGCAUACGUCCUACGGGAGAAAGCAGGGGACCUUCGGGCCUUGCGCUAUCAGAUGAGCCUAGGUCGGAUUAGCUAGUUGGUGAGGUAAUGGCUCACCAAGGCGACGAUCCGUAACUGGUCUGAGAGGAUGAUCAGUCACACUGGAACUGAGACACGGUCCAGACUCCUACGGGAGGCAGCAGUGGGGAAUAUUGGACAAUGGGCGAAAGCCUGAUCCAGCCAUGCCGCGUGUGUGAAGAAGGUCUUCGGAUUGUAAAGCACUUUAAGUUGGGAGGAAGGGCAGUUACCUAAUACGUGAUUGUUUUGACGUUACCGACAGAAUAAGCGCCGGCUAACUCUGUGCCAGCAGCCGCGGUAAUACAGAGGGUGCAAGCGUUAAUCGGAAUUACUGGGCGUAAAGCGCGCGUAGGUGGUUUGUUAAGUUGGAUGUGAAAUCCCCGGGCUCAACCUGGGAACUGCAUUCAAAACUGACUGACUAGAGUAUGGUAGAGGGUGGUGGAAUUUCCUGUGUAGCGGUGAAAUGCGUAGAUAUAGGAAGGAACACCAGUGGCGAAGGCGACCACCUGGACUAAUACUGACA
rnacentral:rRNA from 3 species